GCUAACUACGUGCCAGCAGCCGCGGUAACACGUAGGAGGCAAGCGUUAUCCGAAUUUACUGGGCGUAAAGCGCGUGCAGGCGGUUCGGUAAGUUGGAUGUGAAAUCUCCCGGCUCAACUGGGAGAGGACGUUCAAUACUGUCGGACUUGAGGACGAUAGAGGGAGGUGGAAUUCCCGGUGUAGUGGUGAAAUGCGUAGAUAUCGGGAGGAACACCAGUGGCGAAAGCGGCCUCCUGGAUCGUUCCUGACGCUCAGACGCGAAAGCUAGGGGAGCGAACGGGAUUAGAUACCCGUGUAGUC
rnacentral:rRNA from 1 species